UAGUAGUAAUAAAGUAAAAUAAAACUAAUUUAAUUCAAUGGCGGCAUCUAAUCUAAUUAGAGGAAUUUGUUUUAUAAUCGAUAACCCCCGUUAAAUUUCACUUACACUUUAAAGUUCAUAUACCAUUGUUUUAAGAAUAUAUUUAAUAAAUUCAUUCAUAAUAAUAUUUAAUAAAUCAAAUCAAGGUGUGAUUUAUGUUUAAGUAAAAAUGAAUUACAAUAAAAAUAAUUUAAUUAAUCAUUUAAAAUAUAAACUAAAUUAGGAUUUAAUAUCAAAUUUUAAAUAUAAAAUAAAAUUGAAUAAGAUAAUAAAUGUGC
rnacentral:rRNA from 1 species